UGGGGGAUAUUGCACAAUGGGCGAAAGCCUGAUGCAGCGACGCCGCGUGGGGGAUGAAGGCUUUCGGGUUGUAAACCUCUUUCGCUAUCGAACAAGGCCCGCUUAGGGUGGGUUGAGGGUAGGUGGAGAAGCAGCGCCGGCUAACUACGUGCCAGCAGCCGCGGUCAUACGUAGGGCGCGAGCGUUCUCCGGAAUUAUUGGGCGUAAAGGGCUUGUAGGCGGGUUGUUGCGCUUGCUGUGAAAGCGCGGGGCUUAACUUGGGGAUUGCAGUGGAUACUGGGAGGCUUGAGUGUGGUAGGGGUGACUGGAAUUCCAGGUGUAGCGGUGGAAUGCGCAGAUAUCUGGAGGAAUACCGAUGGCGAAGGCAGGUCACUGGGCCAUUACUGACGCUGAGGAGCGAAAGCAUGGGUAGCUAACAGG
rnacentral:rRNA from 1 species